CUGGGACUACUGCAUCAGGAACUGAUUGGAUGGGAUACAAAUCAAUCUGUUCCUCAUGCAUGGCUCAC
ncrna:Branchiostoma floridae (Florida lancelet) microRNA bfl-mir-217 precursor